CAAACACUCAUAUUUCGGCCCAUGAGGCCCAUUAAACUUAAUAUAUAAGCCACCACUUUUCCCUAUAUCACUUCACACGACUUAAACAGAUCCAAGAACCCUUAUUUUCUCUCCCAAACCCCCUUUCUAAUUGAGCCAUCAUAUAAGCUAAAUCCUAGACCCUUGACAUGAUAUUAGUUAAAGAGAAGUUGUAGCCUAAGUUUUCCUUGUGUUGUAAGCAAGAAGCUGGAAAGAGGAACAAGAUUCUUGAAGAUUCUGAUUGUUAAAGGAUAAGUGUUUUUGGGCAGCAAGUACAAGUUAUAAUACGACUAAACGCUAAAGGUACAGACGUUCAUUUCGGAGAUCCGCCAGCUUAGGACACUUAUUCAGCUAUUUUGACUGCUCCUUUGUUCCGGAGCCUAGCUUGUGGUAUAACUCCCUUAUGUUGAAUUCAUAUGAGUUUAUUUGGGUACGGCGGGGCCCUGUCCCGCCAUAUGAUACGGUCAUUACUCUUAGAGGUCUGUGGACAUUUGUGUGGGUCUGUUUAUGGUUGUUGACGCGUUUUAUGAUUAUGACAUAUGUUUGGGGCGUACCCAUUCGU